rnacentral:rRNA from 1 species
UACGAAGGGGGCUAGCGUUGUUCGGAAUCACUGGGCGUAAAGCGCACGUAGGCGGAUUUUUAAGUCAGGGGUGAAAUCCCGAGGCUCAACCUCGGAACUGCCUUUGGUACUGGAGAUCUUGAGUCCGGAAGAGGUAAGUGGAACUGCGAGUGUAGAGGUGAAAUUCGUAGAUAUUCGCAAGAACACCAGUGGCGAAGGCGGCUUACUGGUCCGGAACUGACGCUGAGGUGCG